GCUGACUGUGCCUCGGAUUUAGAUGAUACCAAGAGAAAGAGGAGCAGUGUCCCUCUCCAUGCCCAGGACUUCCUCCUCGUGCUCAUCUGCUGGGGUCCUAUCCUUGCUGUCAGCUGGGUAAAUUUGCUGAAAACCAGAACUGCACAAAUAACUGAUAGGGGUGAGGGGUGGCCAGGCCGGAAAAAAAAUCAACAUAUUUGCCGUGGGGUAACCAGAAACGUCAUUUUAAUGAAAUAACUAUGUUUUGGGCCAAGCAA